rnacentral:misc_RNA from 1 species
AACCAUAGAAACCUGCGGAGUACCUGCGGAGGGAUCAUUAUAGUAUAUGGAAUCUCCAUUCUAUAAACCCACUCUGCGUAUCUUGUAACUGUUGCUUCCAUGGGACUUGGUUCCGCCACACCGGCUUCACGGCUGGUGAGCGCCCAUGGAAGGAGAAACAAAACUCUUCUUUGGAAUGUAGUCAGUCUGAACAAGUUUUUAUAAACGUUAAAACUUUUAGCAACGGAUCUCAGAUCGGAA